UGCCUAAAAUGCUGUUCCCAGUCCAG
rnacentral:piRNA from 1 species